CAAGGGGGAGAAAGAGAACCGGAGCCCUGCAUGAACUCCCCAGCGAAGCCAGGCCAGGCUGGUCUCUCUCUCUAAUAUGUUAUCUUAUCGAUUGACUGGCUGGAGUUGCAGCACAACUUGUAACAGCCCAAACCUGGAAGCAACCUGGGUGCCCAGCAACAGAAGAGUGGCUGAGCAAGCUGUGGUCUAGAUACACAGUGGAAUAUUAUUUAGCUAUUAAGAAUGACAAAGUCACCUUCUUCACCUUAUCUUGGAUGGAGCUUGAAGAAAUCAUGUUAAGUGAGAUAAGCCAAUCUAUUUUUUAUGGUAAAUGACUCCAUACCGCCCGAGGUGUCGGGAAACACGGAAGGUUCCAGAGACGACGCUGCCAACAAAAUGCCAGGACCCUCUGAGGGCCAGGCUCAGACACGCUGGAAGGUUCCAGAAGCCUACGCUUAUGGCACCCCUUAACGCACCCCGGGCAGACGGACCUCCCUGCGAAUGCUAUCAAAGUUCCCCGCCCCCUUUAAUGAGCAAGGGGGUAUCAGAGGAAGGAGAGGAGGAGGAAAGGAUUUGGAUGGGGACGGAAUUUAAUUUUAAAACUAUUAUGAGACAGCCCGCUCGCCUGGCCCUCCCCUGCACCAAGCACAUAAAUCUUCCCAGCUCAGCUCUCUGUUCUCCAUUUUCCUGAGAAUUCCUCUUCUCGGAAAAGGCAGGCUGGUCCGUCUGAGUCAGCCUGGGAAUGGCGUUUUUAAUAAUGGAUAUUCAUCUACCAGAUUCCCGUGAACUAAAAUGUCACUGUGCAUGUAUGAUAUAUAUGCACAGGUCUCCGUCUAUUAAUAUUAUAUAAAUGGGGUCCUAAGCCAAGUGGCAUUUCUUCUCACAGGCAGAA